CUGCAACAACACCACCAACAACAAGGAAGAACACGAAAAGAAAAAAACACUACAAAAAAACAUUGAAUUAUUCUUAUACACUUGCUUUCUCUUUUUCUGUAUCUCCACCCUUUGUUACAUUCAUCUCUCUUCCUCCCAAUA
rnacentral:ribozyme from 12 species